GCACAAGCGGUGGAGUAUGUUUGUUUAAUUCGAAGAUACACGAAGAACCUUACCAGGUCUUGACAUACCAUUGACAGGUCUAGAGAUAGACUCUCCUUCGGGCAAUGGAUACAGGUGGUGCAUGGUUGUCGUCAGCUCGUGCCGUGAGGUGUUGGGUUAAGUCCCGCAACGAGCGCAACCCUCAUUGUUAGUUACUACCAUUCAGUUGAGGACUCUAAUGAGACUGCCAACGACAAGUUGGAGGAAGGUGGGGAUGACGUCAAAUCAUCAUGCCCUUUAUGACCUGGGCUACAAACGUACUACAAUGGCCAAUACAAAGAGAUGCGAAGCGGUGACGUGGAGCGAACCUCAGAAAGUUGGUCUCAGUUCAGAUUGAAGUCUGCAACUCGACUUCAUGAAGGCGGAAUCGCUAGUAAUCGCGGGUCAGCAGACCGCGGUGAAUACGUUCCCGGGUUUU
rnacentral:rRNA from 1 species